rnacentral:rRNA from 1 species
AGAGUUUGAUCCUGGCUCAGAAUGAACGCUGGCGGCGUGCCUAACACAUGCAAGUCGGAUGUGCCGCAAGGUGCAUGGCAGACGGGUGAGUAACGCGUAGGGAAUCUACCUUUUUGUGGGGAAUAACGCUCCGAAAGGAGUGGUAAUACCGCAUGAGACCGUGGCCUGGGAUGGUUACGGUGAAACCUGGGGACCGCAAGGCCUGGGGCAAAGAGAGGAUCCUGCGUCUGAUUAGCUAGUUGGCGGGGUAAUGGCCCACCAAGGCGACGAUCAGUAGCCGGCCUGAGAGGGUGAUCGGCCACACUGGAACUGAGACACGGUCCAGACUCCUACGGGAGGCAGCAGUGGGGAAUUUUGCGCAAUGGACGAAAGUCUGACGCAGCAACGCCGCGUGGGUGAUGAAGGUCCUCGGACUGUAAAACCCUGUCGUCAGGGACGAAGGUUGAGGGGUUAAUAACCCUUCAGCUUGACGGUACCUGGAGAGGAAGCCCCGGCUAACUCUGUGCCAGCAGCCGCGGUAAUACAGAGGGGGCAAGCGUUAUUCGGAAUUAUUGGGCGUAAAGGGCGCGUAGGCGGUUUUUUAAGUCAGUGGUGAAAUCCUGCCGCUUAACGGUAGAAUUGCCAUUGAUACUGAAGAGCUUGAGUACAGUUGAGGUAGGCGGAAUGUGUAGUGUAGCGGUGAAAUGCUUAGAUAUUACACAGAACACCGAUUGCGAAGGCAGCUUACUAAACUGUUACUGACGCUGAUGCACGAAAGCGUGGGGAGCGAACAGGAUUAGAUACCCUGGUAGUCC